GUGGGGAAUAUUGGGCAAUGGGCGAAAGCCUGACCCAGCAACGCCGCGUGAAGGAAGAAGGUCUUCGGAUCGUAAACUUCUAUCCUUGGUGAAGAUAAUGACGGUAGCCGAGAAGGAAGCCCCGGCUAACUACGUGCCAGCAGCCGCGGUAAUACGUAGGGGGCAAGCGUUGUCCGGAAUGAUUGGGCGUAAAGGGCGCGUAGGCGGCCUGGUAAGUCUGGAGUGAGAGUCCUGCUUUUAAGGUGGGAAUUGCUUUGGAUACUGUCGGGCUUGAGUGCAGGAGAGGUAAGUGGAAUUCCCGGUGUAGCGGUGAAAUGCGUAGAGAUCGGGAGGAACACCAGUGGCGAAGGCGACUUACUGGACUGUAACUGACGCUGAGGCGCGAAAGUGUGGGGAGCAAACAGGAUUAGAAACCCCGGUAGUCC
rnacentral:rRNA from 1 species